ACACGGAGGAUCCGAGCGUUAUCCGGAUUUAUUGGGUUUAAAGGGUGCGCAGGCGGGAGAUUAAGUCGGCGGUGAAAUUUUGCAGCUCAACUGUAAAAGUGCCUUCGAAACUGGUUUCCUUGAGUGUAGAUGAAGUAGGCGGAAUUUGUGGUGUAGCGGUGAAAUGCAUAGAUAUCACGAGGAACUCCGAUUGCGCAGGCAGCUUACUAAACUACUACUGACGCUCAGGCACGAAGGCGUGGGGAUCAAACAGGAUUAGAUACCCUGGUAGUCCACGCAGUAAACGAUGAUUACUAGCUGUUUGCGAUACAAUGUAAGCGGCUGAGCGAAAGCGUUAAGUAAUCCACCUGGGGAGUACGUUCGCAAGAAUGAAACUCAAAUGAAUUGACGGGG
rnacentral:rRNA from 1 species